rnacentral:rRNA from 1 species
AUGACCAACAACUGGAAUUAUCCAAUCAUCUUAAUCCGGCCGGGGAAGGGUGUGUGGCUACCAAGGCCACAAACAACCCCCUUCGUUGACAUCAUUGACAUCGUGCUCGUUGGAAACAGACUCUGCGGGAUCUCCAUGGCGGAGGACCUCUUCUCCUUCAAUAUAAGCUUUAGUGCCAAUGGCGUACCCAUGGUUACCAAUAUCAAGCACCACAUCAGAUCAGGUGAUGCUGAUCCCAAUGUUGAGAGCGACGUAGAUGAGGCCCAAGACCAUAAUGAGCACAAAAAGGGGCGGCACCAGCGCAACUUGUAUGACUUGAGGACUGGAGACAACAUGAUCAUUGAUGGCAUCCUCUGUGACGAGUUGCCUUACGCACCCAACGAUAACCUCGCCACAUUUUAG